UACAGAAGGGGCAAGCGUUAUUCGGAAUUAUUGGGCGUAAAGGGCGCGUAGGCGGCCUGGCAAGUGGAAGGUGAAAUCCCUCGGCUUAACCGAGGAACUGCCCUCCAAACUGCUUGGCUUGAGUCCGGGAGAGGUGAGUGGAAUUCCCGGUGUAGCGGUGAAAUGCGCAGAUAUCGGGAGGAACACCAGUAGCGAAGGCGGCACUCUGGGCCGGUACUGACGCUGAGGAGCGAAAGCGUGGGGAGCGAACAGG
rnacentral:rRNA from 1 species